AACCACCACUUCUAUCAGUCUAGGUGGUUAUAAACCACCACUUCUAUCAGUCUAGGUGGUUAUAAACCACCACUUCUAUCAGUCUAGGUGGUUAUAAACCACCACUUCUAUCAGUCUAGGUGGUUAUAAACCACCACUUCUAUCAGUCUAGGUGGUUAUAAACCACCACUUCUAUCAGUCUAGGUGGUUAUAAACCACCACUUCUAUCAGUCUAGGUGGUUAUAAACCACCACUUCUAUCAGUCUAGGUGGUUAUAAACCACCACUUCUAUCAGUCUAGGUGGUUAUAAACCACCACUUCUAUCAGUCUAGGUGGUUAUAAACCACCACUUCUAUCAGUCUAGGUGGUUAUAAACCACCACUUCUAUCAGUCUAGGUGGUUAUAAACCACCACUUCUAUCAGUCUAGGUGGUUAUAAACCACCACUUCUAUCAGUCUAGGUGGUUAUAAACCACCACUUCUAUCAGUCUAGGUGGUUAUAAACCACC